AUUUCCUCAACUGAAGCUCCUUUCUCUGUGAUAACUCCAGCUGUGUCAAGUUGACACAAAACUAGCCAGUACAAGGGAUCUUCUGGUCUGAAGCUGAUAAAGAAAACUAUGGGCUGGAGAGAUGGCCCAGAAGUGAAGAGCCCUCGCUGCUGUUUUCAGAAGACCUGGGUUUGAUCCCCCAACACCCACAUGGUGGCUCACAACUGUCAUGUCCCCAGCUCCAGAGGAUCUGAUGCCUUCUUUUGACCUCCAAGGGCACCUGUCACGCACAUGGAAAAACAGUCAUAAAAAUAAUCUCCACUAAAAACGUAUUACAUGACAAAUCCUGGAUUUGGUUUUAAGAAAAAAAUUAUGCCCCCAAAAUGGAAACAUCUUUGAGCCCACCCUUCCCUAAGA